AACGAACGCUGGCGGCAGGCCUAACACAUGCAAGUCGAGCGAGGACUUCGGUCCUAGCGGCGGACGGGUGAGUAACGCGUGGGAACGUGCCCUUUGCUUCGGAAUAGCCCUGGGAAACUGGGAGUAAUACCGGAUGAGCCCUUUGGGGGAAAGAUUUAUCGGCGAAGGAUCGGCCCGCGUUGGAUUAGGUAGUUGGUGAGGUAAUGGCCUACCAAGCCGACGAUCCAUAGCUGGUUUGAGAGGAUGAUCAGCCACACUGGGACUGAGACACGGCCCAGACUCCUACGGGAGGCAGCAGUGGGGAAUCUUAGACAAUGGGGGAAACCCUGAUCUAGCCAUGCCGCGUGAGCGAUGAAGGCCUUAGGGUUGUAAAGCUCUUUCAGCUGGGAAGAUAAUGACGGUACCAGCAGAAGAAGCCCCGGCUAACUCCGUG
rnacentral:rRNA from 1 species